UUUAUGUCGCUCUCUCUCUCUCGCUGUCUCAGGCUGCCAAGGCCAACCUGGAGAAGGCGCAGUCCGAGCUGCUGGGCACCUCUGACGAGGCGGCGCGGGCGGAGAUCCAGAUCACCAUAGAGGCCAACGAGGCCAUCGUGAAGGCCCUGGAGUAGCUGCCGGUCACGGGGUAACGAACUCUGUUGUAUUGAUGUAAAAGUGGACUUAACAACCCAUCUCAGUCCUGAUAUCCUGCCCGGUCAUGUCAAACAACUUUGCUUUGUACAGUGCAUAAGGUUAAUACCAAUAAAUUUAUUUGGAAUAAUC